UUGACUUAAUAUUUGUACCGGCAACUGGAAAAAGGCGAAAAAACGGUUGGCCAGGAAAUGAGGGACGCACUAUCGAUCCUCGCCUCCGCCCCCGUCCUCCCUCCCUCAGCCACCCCUUCAGGUAACUACCGCCGCCGUCACCAUCACUCCGCCACCUCUACCACCACCAAAUCCAGACCAAAUCAUAACCCCAAGCAAAAGCCCCAAUUUCCCGCUUCCUCUCCUCUUCUCUCCUCUUCGCGCUGGGCUAAUCGCCAGAGCCUGGCUUACUACACCAAGCUAGCAUCCAAGCUCGCCGAGGACGGCAAGUUCGAUGAUUUUCUCUUGAUAGCAGAGAGCGUCGUCGCAUCGGGGGUAAACAUGUCGGAAUUUCUAGCUUUGCUGAAUUCGGAACAUUUAGCCCGUGGUGUUGUCAGACUUCUUCGUGACGGAAAGCUCGAUAGUAUUGUUGGUACGCUGUUCAGCGGCAUUCAGAAGCUCGGCGUCGAGCCGGCGGGGCUGUUUGAUGCAGUUGCUAUUGAGUCGUUGAAGGCAGAGUGCCGGAGAUUAUUGAAAUGCGGUGAGCUGGAUCGGCUCGUGAGCUUGAUAGAAAUGUUUGCUGGAUUUCAAUUUAUAAUCAAAGAGCUGGUGGAGCCAUCUGAGGUCAUAAAACUUUGCAUCACCAAGAGGGAUCCUACAGCAGCCAUCAGGUAUGCACAGAAUUUUCCCCAUGCUGAAGUGCUAUUUUGUUCAAUAAUUCUUGAAUUUGGGAAGAAACGGGACUUGGGUUCUGCACUGGAAGCCUUCGAAGCAUCAAAGCAAAUAUUAAGUUCUCGUAAUAUGCACGCUCACCGGACUAUAAUAGAUGUAUGUGGUCUUUGUGGUGACUACUUGAAGUCAAGGGCCAUUUAUGAGGGUUUACUUGCUGCAAAUAUCACCCCAAACAUAUAUGUAUUCAACAGUCUUAUGAAUGUGAAUUCCCAUGAUCUAAACUACACGCUGGAUAUCUACAAGAACAUGGAAACACUUGGUAUGAUGUCUGAUAUUACAUCACAUAACAUACUUCUCAAAUCAUGCUGUCUUGCUGCAAAAGUUGAGCUUGCCCAAGAUACUUAUAAGCAGAUACAGGAGUUGGAGUCAAAAGGUGUAUUGAAACUGGAUGACUUCACAUAUAGCACGAUCAUUAAGGUCUUUGCAGAUGCCAAAAUGUGGAAACAGGCACUCGAAAUCAAAGAAGAUAUGCUGUUAUCUGGUAUCGUUCCCAACACAAUUACUUGGUCAUCAUUGAUCAGUGCAUGUGCGAAUGCUGGUCUCGUAGAGAAAGCAAUUGUACUAUUUGAUGAUAUGCUUCAAGCUGGUGCUCAACCCAAUACCCAGUGUUUCAAUACCCUUCUUCAUGCCUGUGUUGAGGUUUGCCAAUUUGAUCGGGCUUUUCGGCUGUUCCAAUGCUGGAAAGAGAGGGGUUCUCAACAAACUAUCAGUGGUGAUAAGCUUAAUAGUGCAUACAAUGAAGCAGUGGACCAAAUGACUGAAAUGGGAGUUCCUCUUACAUUGUCCUCACACUUAACCAUGAGAAUUCCAUUUCGACCCACUACUUCGACUUAUAAUAUUAUGAUGAAAGCCUGUGGGACUGAUUAUUACCGUGCCAAAGAUUUGUUUGAUGAAAUGCAGACUUUCAACCUUACUCCUAAUCAUAUUAGCUGGUCAAUAUUAAUAGAUGUUUGUGGAGACUCAGGAAAUGUACUGAGUGCUUUACAAAUCUUGACAUCCAUGCGUGAAAGUGGGGUUCAACCUGAUGUUAUUGCCUAUACAACAGCUAUUAAGAUCUGUGUAAAACAGAAGAAGCCAAAGCUUGCAUUUAAGUUGUUUAAAGAGAUGAAGAAAUAUCAAAUAAAACCAAAUAUGGUGACCUACAACACUAUUCUUAGAGCCCGUAGUGUGGAUGGUUCACUGCGGGGACUACAACAGUGUCUUGCAAUAUAUCAGCAAAUGAGAAAAGCAGGGUACAAACCUAAUGAUCAUCAUCUGAAGCAACUCAUUGAAGACUGGUGCGAAGGUUUGUUGCAAACCGAACGUCGAAGUGAAGGUCAAUAUGCUUCUCAUAUAACAGAUUUUGGGCGUCAAAGCCUGCUGCUGGAGAAAGUUACAGAAUACUUGCAAGAUAGUAAUGCUGAAAGUCUCUUCAUUGACCUCCGAGGUCUUACCAAGGUGGAAGCUCGAAUUGUUGUUCUUGCAGUUAUUCGAAAGAUCAAAGAGAAGUGUGCUGCAGGAAAAUCAAUAAAAGAUGAUUUGUCGAUCAUACUAGAGCAACAGAGGCACGGUGACCGUGACAGCAGAGAUGAUAGUGGAGUUGGGGAAGCUGUGAUUCGAUUAUUGAAACAUGACUUGGCGCUUGAGGUUAUUGAAGUUGGUUCAAGAACUGGGAGUGACAGAGAUAACGAGGGAAGUCCUACAAGUCCGAGUUUAAAUUUUGAAGUAGACAAAAAGAGUAGCUUGGCAGAAACAUCAGAAUCUCCAACACGAAGACCUGUAAUUCUUCAAAGGCUAAAGGUGACCAAGAAAUCUCUGCAUCAAUGGCUGCGUAGGAAGACUGUGUCGUCAAAACGGUGAAAAUUCUUGUAGGUGUAUUUUACCUCAUCCAUUCUUUAUUCUUUCAUGCUGUAGGUGCUUAGUUUUUACCAUUGCACCAUGCAAAUAAGUUUGGCUGUGAUUCUAUGUUGUCCCAUAAUAAUAGUCAUUUUGCAGGGGAGAGAGAGAGAGAGAGAAGUGUUGUAAGUUGUAACAGUACAUCCAAUUCCUAUUGUUGCGGUCACCAGCAUCACGAUCCACAUCGGCCUUGGCAGCUCCUUCAGCGCACCGAAUAAUUCCCCAAACACCAGGAUUUGCCCUUUCUUCGCCGAAUCUGGCUCCGUCGCAACUUGAGGGGUCUCCGUCACGAAGAAAAUGGCCAUGACGGUGAUGGAGAUUAGGAGGAAGAUGGCGAUUAUGAAGCAAGUCUUCAAAUUUUACUUCAAUACUGUAAUAUGUAAUCCAUUGUUCUAUAUGA